GGGAUUGUAGCUCAGUGGUAGAGUGCUUGCCUACCACGCAUGAGGCACUGGGUUCAAUCCUCAGUGCCA
rnacentral:tRNA from 1 species